GGAUCUCUUGGCUCUUGCAUCGAUGAAGAACGCAGCGAAAUGCGAUAAGUAAUGUGAAUUGCAGAAUUCCGUGAAUCAUUAAAUCUUUGAACGCAAAUUGCACUUCUUGGUAUUCCGAGGAGUAUACUUGCUUGAGGGUUGGUCUACUAAAAAAUCGUG
rnacentral:rRNA from 1 species